UUUGCUGACGACCGGCGCACGGGUGCGCACCGCGUAUGGAAUCUGCCCUUUACAGGGGGAUAGCCUUUGGAAACGAAGAUUAAUACCCCAUAGUACCUUUAGUAGCAUUGCUAGAUGGUUAAAGGUUUCGGCCGGUAAAGGAUGACCAUGCGUCCCAUUAGCUAGAUGGUAAGGUAACGGCUUACCAUGGCAACGAUGGGUAGGGGCCCUGAGAGGGGGAUCCCCCACACUGGUACUGAGACACGGACCAGACUCCUACGGGAGGCAGCAGUGAGGAAUAUUGGACAAUGGGUGAGAGCCUGAUCCAGCCAUGCCGCGUGCAGGAAGAAUGCCCUAUGGGUAGUAAACUGCUUUUAUACAGGAAGAAAAAAGAGUACGUGUACUCUACUGACGGUACUGUAAGAAUAAGGACCGGCUAACUCCGUGCCAGCAGCCGCGGUAAUACGGAGGGUCCGAGCGUUAUCCGGAAUUAUUGGGUUUAAAGGGUCCGUAGGCGGGCUAAUAAGUCAGAGGUGAAAGUCUGCGGCUCAACCGUAGAAAUGCCUUUGAUACUGUUAGUCUUGAGUCAUGGUGAAGUGGGCGGAAUAUGUAGUGUAGCGGUGAAAUGCAUAGAUAUUACAUAGAACACCUAU
rnacentral:rRNA from 1 species